rnacentral:rRNA from 1 species
UGUCUACUAAUUAUAGACCUGUAUGAAAGGCAAAAUGNGGGUCUAACUGUCUCUUAUAAUGAAUCAAUUAAACUGAUCUCCUAGUAAAAAAGCUAGGAUUCCCUCAUAAGACCAGAAGACCCUGUGAAGCUUAAACUAAAUUAUUAAACCCUAUAAUAACCACUUUCGGUUGGGGCGACCUUGGAAAAAAAAAGAACUUCCCAACAAACCAUGACUACCACACUACUAUACUAGGCCUACAAGCCAACAAAUGACCCAGUAUAACUGAUCACCGAACCAAGUUACUCCAGGGAUAACAGCGCAAUCCUCUUCAAGAGCCCAUAUCAAAAAGAGGGUUUACGACCUCGAUGUUGGAUCAGGACAUCCUAAUGGUGCAGCCGCUAUUAAGGGUUCGUUUGUUCAACGAUUAAUAGU